GGGGAAGCGGCAACGAUUGGCGGUGUUGCGGCUGACUGUAAAUCAGUUCCCAAGUGGUAUAAACGCUGGAGGUUCAAUUCCUCUCUUCCCCA
rnacentral:tRNA from 1 species